AACGAACGCUGGCGGCGUGCCUAACACAUGCAAGUCGAGCGGGAUCCAUCCAGUGGCAACACUGGGGAAGAUCUAGCGGCGAACGGGUGAGUAACACGUGAGAAACUUGCCCCGGAGUUCGGGAUAACUCGAGGAAACUCGAGCUAAUACCGAAUGCCCUCUUCUGAUCGCAUGGUCGGAUGAGGAAAGAUUCAUCGCUCCGGGAGAGUCUCGCGGCCUAUCAGCUAGUUGGCGGGGUAACGGCCCACCAAGGCAUCGACGGGUAGCUGGUCUGAGAGGACGGUCAGCCACACUGGGACUGAGACAUGGCCCAGACUCCUACGGGAGGCAGCAGUGGGGAAUAUUGCACAAUGGGCGCAAGCCUGAUGCAGCAACGCCGCGUGCGGGAUGACGGCCUUCGGGUUGUAAACCGCUUUUAGUAGGGAAGAAGGGCUUCGGCUUGACGGUACCUGCAGAAGAAGCCCCGGCUAACUUCGUGCCAGCCGCCGCGGUAAGAC
rnacentral:rRNA from 1 species